UACGAAGGGGGCUAGCGUUGUUCGGAUUUACUGGGCGUAAAGCGCACGUAGGCGGAUUGUUAAGUCAGGGGUGAAAUCCCGGAGCUCAACUCCGGAACUGCCUUUGAUACUGGCAAUCUUGAGGCUGGAAGAGGUUAGUGGAAUUCCCAGUGUAGAGGUGAAAUUCGUAGAUAUUGGGAAGAACACCAGUGGCGAAGGCGGCUAACUGGUCCAGAU
rnacentral:rRNA from 1 species